CAGUCGCCGCGGUAAUACAGAGGGUGCAAGCGUUAAUCGGAAUUACUGGGCGUAAAGCGCGCGUAGGUGGUUUGUUAAGUUGGAUGUGAAAUCCCCGGGCUCAACCUGGGAACUGCAUCCAAAACUGGCAAGCUAGAGUAUGGUAGAGGGUGGUGGAAUUUCCUGUGUAGCGGUGAAAUGCGUAGAUAUAGGAAGGAACACCAGUGGCGAAGGCGACCACCUGGACUGAUACUGACACUGAGGUGCGAAAGCGUGGGGAGCAAACAGGAUUAGAUACCCCAGUAGUCCCUGUCCCUUAUAC
rnacentral:rRNA from 1 species